UUGACGCAUAUCACAACAAAAAAGGGCGCACUUUGGUGCGCCCUUUUCUCAGCUU
rfam:Salmonella enterica subsp. enterica serovar Macclesfield str. S-1643 chromosome, complete genome.